rnacentral:rRNA from 1 species
UGGGGAAUAUUGCACAAUGGGCGCAAGCCUGAUGCAGCUAUGCCGCGUGUGUGAAGAAGGCCUUCGGGUUGUAAAGCACUUUCAGCGAGGAGGAAGGGUUCAGUGUUAAUAGCACUGUUCAUUGACGUUACUCGCAGAAGAAGCACCGGCUAACUCCGUGCCAGCAGCCGCGGUAAUACGGAGGGUGCAAGCGUUAAUCGGAAUUACUGGGCGUAAAGCGCACGCAGGCGGUUUGUUAAGUCAGAUGUGAAAUCCCCGCGCUUAACGUGGAACUGCAU